GACGAACGCUGGCGGCGUGCCUAAUACAUGCAAGUCGAACGCAGUGGGGACGGGUGCGUAACACGUGGGUAACCUCCCAUCAGAGGGGAUAACACUUGGAAACAGGUGCUCAACCGAUACUGAUGGAUGGACCCGCGGUGCAUUAGCUAGUUGGUGGGGUAACGGCUCACCAAGGCCACGAUGCAUAGCCGAACUGGGAGGGUGAGCGGCAACAAUGGGACUGAGACACGGACCAGACUCCUACGGGAGGCAGCAGUAGGGAAUCUUGGGCAAUGGACGAAAGUCUGACAGAGCAAGGCCGCGUGAGUGAAGAAGGUUUUCGGAUCGUAAAACUCUGUUGUUAGAGAAGCGGUAUCUAACCAGAAAGCCACGGCUAACUACGUGCCAGCCGCCGCGGUAAUAC
rnacentral:rRNA from 1 species